GAAAAAGACAAGAGGAGAAGAAUGUGGAGAGAGAGAGGGAGAGAGGGAGAAGAAAUGAAGGGAAAGGACACAGUCAUUUUUCUCCCUAAACCUGUAGGCUAACACUGUCCACCCUAAUAGGAUGGAGACAUGAGCCUGAUCCCGAGUGCCAAGUUCUGAACAGCCUUCCAAGCCCCAGGGAUUGUUUCACAGCCCCAUCCCGAUCUGGACUUGAAUACCUUCCUCGAAGAGUUGGGCCUAGCAACAUGGCAGCGCACGUUGGAUAAGAAAUCUCCGUGAAAUGCUGCUACUCAGAUGCUGAAGCUCUGCAGCUCCUUGUUCUUGGCAUGAAUUCUGAGUGCUGAAAACUGGACUCUUUUAAGGCUGCCAGAAUGGAAACAAAACAACUUAUCUCGUGUGCACUGCAACUCAGAUUACACACAAAAUAACUUUGCUGUUGGGAUGAUUUGCUACACUGUUAGCUAUGCACCUCCAAUGCUGCCUCUCCGUUCUUCAGCCCCGUGUGUUCAGCAGUAAUUCUGUCCAGCAAAGUGCCUACCAGAAAGAAACACAGAGCUGGCUUGUACUGUUACCUUAGGUGUUUCAAAGACUGAUGCUUCUGGACACAUCCAAUGCAGGUGGUCUGCUUCUCCCUCGCAGCAUUUUGGAUUAAGGAGCUGUGGAACCACCCCAAAUUUUGUGGAGGAGCUGUGUGGAGAAUGGGCACAUGAUGGAAGUGCAAAUUUUCAGCUGUAAAUCCACAAGACUCACAUCCAAUGUAGAGCUGUUGCAUACCUAAGAGUUGAUUUCUUUUUACCUGUUUGGUGCUUCUCUGGGAAUAGAUUCAUGAAUGGGUGGUGAAAACUCCCCAAGGAGAACAGUCUCUGUCCUUUUUGGUCUGUCCUGCAGAAGUCUUCAUGAACUUCAGAAGGUUCCAAAACAGAGAUCUGAUAGAGGAGCAGUAACUUCUGAGAUUAUUCUGCUCCAGCAAGCUUUCCAGAAAUGACAGAAGUCACAGCCACGCAUCCAGCAGUCAGGAAGAAGGUUGGAAGGACAAAGAAAAGUUUUAAGGUGUAUUGGAGCCUGCAGUGCAACAUUAAGUGAUGUGGAAGUGUGGCCUGGCACCAGGAGUGUGGAGACUGGCUGCUGUGCUUGCGUCCCGCUGCUAUUUCUGGCAUACUGAGACUGAGCAGUGUUUGAUGGGC